UUAUCUCUGUAGAGUCUGCAUAUCAAUAAGCGGAGGAAAAGAAACUAACUAGGAUUCCCUCAGUAACGGCGAGUGAGGCGGGAAGAGCUCAAAUUUGAAAUCUUCAAGGUUCUACCUUGACGAAUUGUAGUUUAAAGAAGUGUUUUCUGUUGGAGUUUUGGUAAAAGUUCUUUGGAAUAGGACAUCAUAGAGGGCGAGAAUCCCGUAUUUGACCAUUAUUUCAGCUUUGUGAUACACUUUCAAAGAGUCGGAUUGUUUGGGAAUGCAGUCCAAAAUGGGUGGUAAAUUUCAUCUAAAGCUAAAUAUUGGCGAGAGACCGAUAGCGAACAAGUACCGUGAGGGAAAGAUGAAAAGAACUUUGAAAAGAGAGUUAAACAGUACGUGAAAUUGUCAAAAGGGAAGCGUUUGACACCAGUGUUGUUUUCUCGAAAAUCAAUUAAAAAUGGCUUGAUUUUGUGUUGUAUUGACCUUAAAAGCUUUCUUCACUUUUUUCAUGUCUUUUUUAAUGCACUUUUCGUUUAACAAGUCAACAUCAGUUUCUUUUGUUGUAAAAAGGUCAUUGGAAGGUGGCUUUCUUUUCGGAGAAAGUGUUUAUAGCCUUUGACUUCUGCAAUCGGAGAGACUGAGGUCUGCAGCGUAGAUCCUCCUGGAUUAGAUUCAUUUGUGCUAAGUUACAACCGUUUAUAGACAACUUGUUGACUAUAUUCGAUCCUGUAGCUUACUCGCUUAUGUAAUUUUACCUACGCUUAGGAUGUUGAAGAUGUAGCACAUCAU
rnacentral:rRNA from 1 species